rnacentral:rRNA from 1 species
GGGGUAUAGUUCUUCGGAGCUAGAGACCGGCGCACGGGUGCGUAACGCGUAUGCAAUCUACCUUUUACAGAGGGAUAGCCCAGAGAAAUUUGGAUUAAUACCUCAUAGUAUGUGAGAAUCGCAUGGCUUUCACAUUAAAGUUCCAACGGUAAAAGAUGAGCAUGCGUCCCAUUAGCUAGAUGGUAAGGUAACGGCUUACCAUGGCGACGAUGGGUAGGGGUCCUGAGAGGGAGAUCCCCCACACUGGUACUGAGACACGGACCAGACUCCUACGGGAGGCAGCAGUGAGGAAUAUUGGACAAUGGGCGCAAGCCUGAUCCAGCCAUGCCGCGUGCAGGAUGACGGUCCUAUGGAUUGUAAACUGCUUUUGUACAGGAAGAAACACUCCCUCGUGAGGGAGCUUGACGGUACUGUAAGAAUAAGGAUCGGCUAACUCCGUGCCAGCAGCCGCGGUAAUACGGAGGAUCCAAGCGUUAUCCGGAAUCAUUGGGUUUAAAGGGUCCGUAGGCGGUUUAAUAAGUCAGUGGUGAAAGCCCAUCGCUCAACGGUGGAACGGCCAUUGAUACUGUUAAACUUGAAUUAUUAGGAAGUAACUAGAAUAUGUAGUGUAGCGGUGAAAUGCUUAGAGAUUACAUGGAAUACCAAUUGCGAAGGCAGGUUACUACUAAUGGAUUGACGCUGAUGGACGAAAGCGUGGGUAGCGAACAGGAUUAGAUACCCUGGUAGUCCACGCCGUAAACGAUGGAUACUAGCUGUUGGGCGCAAGUUCAGUGGCUAAGCGAAAGUGAUAAGUAUCCCACCUG